rnacentral:rRNA from 1 species
AUUGAACGCUGGCGGCAUGCCUUACACAUGCAAGUCGAACGGUAACGGGCCUUCGGGUGCCGACGAGUGGCGAACGGGUGAGUAAUGUAUCGGAACGUACCUUUCAGUGGGGGAUAACGUAGCGAAAGUUACGCUAAUACCGCAUAUUCUGUGAGCAGGAAAGCAGGGGAUCGCAAGACCUUGCGCUGAUUGAGCGGCCGAUAUCAGAUUAGCUAAUUGGUGAGGUAAAGGCUCACCAAGGCGACGAUCUGUAGCGGGUCUGAGAGGAUGAUCCGCCACACUGGAACUGAGACACGGUCCAGACUCCUACGGGAGGCAGCAGUGGGGAAUUUUCCGCAAUGGGCGAAAGCCUGACGGAGCGACGCCGCGUGGAGGAAGAAGUAUUUCGGUAUGUAAACUCCUUUUGUCAGGGACGAAACAAAUGACGGUACCUGAAGAAUAAGCAUCGGCUAACUACGUGCCAGCAGCCGCGGUAAU